UCAUUUUUUGUGUAGAAAGAAUACCCAAUUCAUUUUCUUUUUAUGAAUAGACGAAUUCAUCUAACCUAAUCGUCUCAGCUCCGACUCAGCACGACGAAGGAGACGACUGACCGUGAAGAAGAGAGCCAUCGAUCAGCCGGAAUCGUAUUAAGCCCGAUGUACUACCUUUUGUUGCGUCUAUUUGUGCUCUAUGAGGGUUUGUCUUCUUCUUUUUUCGUCUCCACUUUUCGAUUUUGAGAUCCCCAAUCGGACUCUAUGAAGAAGAAGCUCGACACUCGUUUUCCUGCUGAUUUCUGAGGAGUCCAUUUGCUAACAUUGCUGCUGCUCUCAUGGAACUUGCAUUCAUUAAUGGAUUGUUUUGUUUCUAGUUUAUGCAAAAUCAGUUUCAGGGUGGUAUAUUCAUUGGUAGGUGAUGACCCAUGUGGAGACGGUGAUUUUCCACCAUGAUCCGGAGUUAAAUGUUCUGCACAGGUGAUUAUAGAGUUGUCACAGAAUUGUAAGUAUCCACUUUUAUUGGAUAUGAUUAAUAAGUUUCUUCAAUACCCAUAUGUAGGUGUGAUACUAUUUUUUCCUUGCUAUCCUUAGUGCAUUUCUACCCCCGUGAUACUGAAUAUCAUUCGUGAGACAACAUCCAAAUGGUGGAUUAUUAUCAUCUUUAAUCAAAAUGAAAAAGUUCUUAUAUGAAUGAAGAACUCUGCAAAAUCUUACUGCACUAUUUCUUGUAUUAAUAAACUCUUAUUUAAUUUAUUUCCUUUGAUUUGUAGAUGAUUCUAUAAUUUCUAAUGUGCCAACAAUAUUAAAUGUGAGGCAGACUGGCAGCAGAAACAUGCAUUUAUCCUUGAUAUUAUUAUAUGAAUUGAUGUUGAAUCUUCAAUUAGGUAUCAAGUAAUAAAAUAGCGAGAGAUUAAGGGCUCUCCAAGGACCUUAAUUUCGAAGGUUUGAUCCUUGAUAUUAUUUUUCUCUUAUAUUAUGAGUCCUAUAGUGUUUGUAAUGGCAAGAAAUGGAAAUAGUUCUCUGAACUUUAUGAGGUAAUUGUUCUUGCAAUGUCUGGAUUUACAUUCUUUUUUGGGACUACAUUCACCUAGUUGAAUCUUAAUACAGGGAGCCAUAUUUGGAUUCUCUAAUUUAGAAAAGUUGACAGUAUCAACUGAAGCAGUUCAGUCCAUAUAUCAUCUCAAACUGCAACUUCUACUAAUCCUAAUGGAAACUCUAGACCUUGAAAGCCUCCUCCAAAUGAUUCAUGAUAAAAAGCCUUUUAGGAAAUGAUCAUUUUGGCUAUCUUCGUCAAGCAUUUGAAGUUGGAUCCUUAAAUUAUUUUCUUGAAAUUCUUGAAAGAUACUGAAUGGUUUUGAUAGUGAAGUUGCAGGUUAUCGAAGUGUUUUGCGUCUCAAAAUUUAUUGCAUCUUAUGAAAUCAGUCUCGAGUAUGUGCAAUCUGGGAUGGUAUUGUUGAUUAGACGCUUGACUCAUGGUUUGUAUCUUGAUAGCUCUAGAGAGGACGAGGACCUUCUCAUUAUUGACUUAGUUGAAAGUUUGAUGGGCACUGGUGGCUCACUGCAGUUUCAAAAUCCAGGCUUGAAUGAGCAUAUAGAAACUAACUCAUGGGUGUAUUGCGUUUUCAAGCUAUUUACUUCUUGAAAAAAAGGUGGAGUUUGGAAAUGAAGGGGACUAUCCAGUUGAUUCAUCAAUAUCAUCAAUGCUCUUAUCUUGUC